GAUGAACGCUAGCUAUAGGCUUAACACAUGCAAGUCGAGGGGAAACGGCAUUAUGUGCUUGCACAUUUUGGACGUCGACCGGCGCACGGGUGAGUAUCGCGUAUCCAACCUGCCCUUUACUUGGGGAUACCCCGUUGAAAGACGGCCUAAUACCCGAUGUAAUUCAUUGAUGGCAUCAGAUAUGAAUAAAAGAUUUAUCGGUAAAGGAUGGGGAUGCGUCUGAUUAGCUUGUUGGUGAGGUAACGGCUCACCAAGGCGACGAUCAGUAGGGGUUCUGAGAGGAAGGUCCCCCACAUUGGAACUGAGACACGGUCCAAACUCCUACGGGAGGCAGCAGUGAGGAAUAUUAGUCAAUGGGCGCAAGCCUGAACCAGCCAAGUAGCGUGCAGGAAGACGGCCCUAUGGGUUGUAAACUGCUUUUAUACGAGAAUAAUUUGAUGCACGUGUGCGUUAUUGCAUGUAUCGUAUGAAUAAGGACCGGCUAAUUCCGUG
rnacentral:rRNA from 1 species